GGGGAAUCUUAGACAAUGGGCGCAAGCCUGAUCUAGCCAUGCCGCGUGAGUGAUGAAGGCCUUAGGGUCGUAAAGCUCUUUCGCCAGGGAUGAUAAUGACAGUACCUGGUAAAGAAACCCCGGCUAACUCCGUGCCAGCAGCCGCGGUAAUACGGAGGGGGUUAGCGUUGUUCGGAAUUACUGGGCGUAAAGCGCACGUAGGCGGACUAUUAAGUCAGAGGUGAAAUCCCGGGGCUCAACCCCGGAACUGCCUUUGAUACUGGUAGUCUUGAGUUCGAGAGAGGUGAGUGGAAUUCCGAGUGUAGAGGUGAAAUUCGUAGAUAUUCGGAGGAACACCAGUGGCGAAGGCGGCUCACUGGCUCGAUACUGACGCUGAGGUGCGAAAGUGUGGGGAGCAAACAGG
rnacentral:rRNA from 1 species